AUUGAACGCUGGCGGCAUGCCUUACACAUGCAAGUCGAACGGCAGCACGGACUUCGGUCUGGUGGCGAGUGGCGAACGGGUGAGUAAUAUAUCGGAGCAUACCCAGUAGUGGGGGAUAACUAUCCGAAAGGAUAGCUAAUACCGCAUACGAUCUGUGGAUGAAAGCAGGGGAUCUUCGGACCUUGUGCUAUUGGAAUGGCCGAUAUCUGAUUAGCUAGUUGGUAGGGUAAAAGCCUACCAAGGCGACGAUCAGUAGCUGGUCUGAGAGGACGACCAGCCACACUGGAACUGAGACACGGUCCAGACUCCUACGGGAGGCAGCAGUGGGGAAUUUUGGACAAUGGGGGCAACCCUGAUCCAGCAAUGCCGCGUGAGUGAAGAAGGCCCUCGGGUUGUAAAGCUCUUUUGUCAGGGAAGAAACGGAGUUCUCUAAUAUAGGAUUCUAAUGACGGUACCUGAAGAAUAAGCACCGGCUAACUACGUGCC
rnacentral:rRNA from 1 species